UACGGACGGUGCGAGCGUUAGUCGGAAUUACUGGGCGUAAAGCGCACGUAGGUGGUUUUAUAAGUCGGAUGUGAAAGCCCCGGGCUUAACCUGGGAAUUGCAUCCGAGACUGUCUGACUUGAGUAUGCUAGAGGGAAGUGGAAUUCCAGGUGUAGCGGUGAAAUGCGUAGAUAUCGGAAGGAACAUCAGUGGCGAAAGCGACUUCCUGGACCAGUACCGACGUUCAGGCACGAAAACGUGGGGAGCAAACAGG
rnacentral:rRNA from 1 species